rnacentral:rRNA from 1 species
AUGAACGCUGGCGGCGUGCCUAAUACAUGCAAGUCGAGCGAACGGACGAGAAGCUUGCUUCUCUGAUGUUAGCGGCGGACGGGUGAGUAACACGUGGAUAACCUACCUAUAAGACUGGGAUAACUUCGGGAAACCGGAGCUAAUACCGGAUAAUAUUUUGAACCGCAUGGUUCAAAGGUGAAAGACGGUCUUGCUGUCACUUAUAGAUGGAUCCGCGCUGCAAUAGCUAGUUGGUAAGGUAACGGCUUACCAAGGCAACGAUGCAUAGCCGACCUGAGAGGGUGAUCGGCCACACUGGAACUGAGACACGGUCCAGACUCCUACGGGAGGCAGCAGUAGGGAAUCUUCCGCAAUGGGCGAAAGCCUGACGGAGCAACGCCGCGUGAGUGAUGAAGGUCUUCGGAUCGUAAAACUCUGUUAUUAGGGAAGAACAUAUGUGUAAGUAACUGUGCACAUCUUGACGGUACCUAAUCAGAAAGCCACGGCUAACUACGUG